rnacentral:rRNA from 1 species
CAAUAGCGAAUCUUAAUGUUGUUGCUAUUAAAAAGCUCGUAGUCGAAUUUCUGGCCGGGAAAGCCGAUCUAACCGCGCUGCUCCUAGGUCAUCCGUCUUUGAGGGCGCGUGGGUAUUCAUUUAUCUGCCGUCGGAUCUGGCAUUUACUUUGAAAAAUCAGAGUGUUUCAGGCAGGCUUUUCGCUUGAAUACACCAGCAUGGAAUAAUGGAAUAGGGCUCGUCUUACUUCUUGGUUCGUUUGACAAGCAAUGAUUAAUAGGGACAGUUGGGGCAGUUCGUACUGGACAGCUAGAGGUGAAAUUCUACGAUUUGUUAAAGACUAACUUAUGCGAAAGCAUUUGCCAAGGAUGUUUCAUUAAUCAAGAACGAAAGUUAGGGGAUCAAAGAUGAUUAGAU